rnacentral:rRNA from 1 species
UGGCGGACGGGUGAGUAACGCGUGGAUAACCUGCCGUAUGCAGGGGGAUACCAACUGGAAACAGUUGCUAAUACCGCAUAAGCGCACAGUACCGCAUGGUAUAGUGUAAAAAGAUUUAUCGGCAUACGAUGGAUCCGCGUCCGAUUAGCCAGUUGGCGGGGUAGAAGCCCACCAAAGCGACGAUCGGUAGCCGGCCUGAGAGGGCGGACGGCCACAUUGGGACUGAGACACGGCCCAAACUCCUACGGAAGGCAGCAG